AUUGAACGCUGGCGGCAUGCCUUACACAUGCAAGUCGAACGGUAACGCGGGGCAACCUGGCGACGAGUGGCGAACGGGUGAGUAAUGCAUCGGAACGUGCCCAGUUGUGGGGGAUAACUGCUCGAAAGAGCAGCUAAUACCGCAUACGACCUGAGGGUGAAAGCGGGGGAUCGCAAGACCUCGCGCAAUUGGAGCGGCCGAUGUCGGAUUAGCUAGUUGGUGGGGUAAAGGCCCACCAAGGCGACGAUCCGUAGCUGGUCUGAGAGGUCGACCAGCCACGCUGGGACUGAGACACGGCCCAGACUCCUAAGGGAGGCAGCAGUGGGGAAUUUUGGACAAUGGACGCAAGUCUGAUCCAGCCAUGCCGCGUGCGGGAAGAAGGCCUUCGGGUUGUAAACCGCUUUUGUCAGGGAAGAAAUCUUCUGGGUUAAUACCUCGGGAGGAUGACGGUACCUGAAGAAUAAGCACCGGCUAACUACGUGCCAGCCGCCGCCGUAAGAC
rnacentral:rRNA from 1 species